rnacentral:lncRNA from 1 species
GUGCUAAAGCAUAGUUUGGCAAUUGAAGCAGCAUCACAGGUCUGUAGGAUCAGCAGCCAGAUGCAAAGAACAAGCUCUGACUUGCAACGUACCACUUCCCUUAAAGAGAGGCUGAUUGGUGGUUACAGACGUCACUGGCUCUGGAUAUUUGCCCACAGAGAUGAGACGACCAUAAAUAUUAAUUGUCUUAGUAAUGGUACUGCAGAUUUAGUGCUGGCUGUGUUGCAGGUAAGUUUAAUGGAAGUGCAGCUUAGUACAGUGAGUCUCACAUAUGGUCACAUGAAUGGUGGCUGAAAUCAAACCUAUAAACAGCAAUUGCAGAGUGUUUCUGGUGUGUGUUCCAUCCUGCUGCUCUUGCAAAUGAAAACUUGUAAAGCUACAGGCAAAAAUUCUCAUGUUCUUUUUACUUCUCUCUUUACCAUUUUCUUGCUCUCAUAUUCUUUUGCAUUUCUUGCUCAAAACUGAGUGUUUUGAGUUCUUCACUUACGCUUUAUUGUUUAGAGUUUGUGGUUUGCAGUGGUUUCUUACUUAUGGUAAGAAACUUAGUGGUUUAUUACUUUAUUUUGCGAGGCUCUGUAUUUAUUAUGAUUUACUCUUUACUUAUUUAUAGAUUGGGGCACCAGAUGUAAAAAUGUAGUCUCAUCCAUAAAAUCUAAAUCCCCAAUGACAAGGGUGCUGAGAUUUGUAGUUUAUCAUUUUAAGGCUUACUGUGCAAAAUGGAAAAGUUGAAGUCCUUGGAUAACAAACUGUAAGCCCUGAAGCUUAAACAGUAGGCUCUGUGAAUACACUAAGUAAGGCACUAAGACUCUGUAAAUUAUUGGUAAAAAUUUAUUGAAUCUAACAUCAGGAGGAAAAAGAGCAUAGUAUAAUCUUACAUACCUUCAGGUGCUGGGAACAGUCUUCUGCAGAAUUGGAGAGAUCCCUAACUGAGGUACAGCCCCACAGUGCAGCUUCUGUCUUCUGUUGACAUCUUGGUCUUUGUAGCUCUUGUGGGAUUUUCUUCUAAGAAAAUAAUUCUAUUCACUGUAAUUCUUUUACUGUCAAACGAGAGUGUUCACUUGAGAACCUGCUGCUGUGCUUUCAGAUCUGAGAUCUUGGUUUGACCCUGUGCAGGCAUAACACGCUGCCACUGCUGGUGCAUGAGUUGAGAGCUGUCAAGCUUCUUGCAGGGCUGUACUCUAGGUGUAGGGCAGAAGCACAGACAGGUGAAUUUAGGGUUUUUCGUUGAAUAACAAAGCUGAGUCCUCUCCUUGAAGGAAAAAGCAGACUGACAGUAAUACCUCUUGGUGAACUU